AGCGCAUACGGUGGAUGCCUUGGCAGUCAGAGGCGAUGAAAGACGUGGUAGCCUGCGAUAAGCUUUGGGGAGUCGGCAAACAGACUUUGAUCCAGAGAUCUCUGAAUGGGGGAACCCACUCAGCACAAGCUGAGUAUCUUGUACUGAAUACAUAGGUGCAAGAGGCGAACCAGGGGAACUGAAACAUCUAAGUACCCUGAGGAAAAGAAAUCAACCGAGAUUCCCUUAGUAGUGGCGAGCGAACGGGGACCAGCCCUUAAGUUGAUUUGAGAUUAGUGGAACGCUCUGGAAAGUGCGGCCAUAGUGGGUGAUAGCCCCGUACACGAAAAUCUCUUAUCAAUGAAAUCGAGUAGGACGGAGCACGAGAAACUUUGUCUGAAUAUGGGGGGACCAUCCUCCAAGGCUAAAUACUACUGACUGACCGAUAGUGAACCAGUACCGUGAGGGAAAGGCGAAAAGAACCCCGGAGAGGGGAGUGAAAUAGAACCUGAAACCGUAUGCGUACAAGCAGUGGGAGCCUACUUUGUUAGGUGACUGCGUACCUUUUGUAUAAUGGGUCAGCGACUUAUAUUCAGUGGCGAGCUUAACCGAAUAGGGGAGGCGUAGCGAAAGCGAGUCUUAAUAGGGCGUUUAGUCGCUGGGUAUAGACCCGAAACCGGGCGAUCUAUCCAUGGGCAGGUUGAAGGUUAGGUAACACUGACUGGAGGACCGAACCGACUACCGUUGAAAAGUUAGCGGAUGACCUGUGGAUCGGAGUGAAAGGCUAAUCAAGCUCGGAGAUAGCUGGUUCUCCUCGAAAGCUAUUUAGGUAGCGCCUCAUGUAUCACUGUAGGGGGUAGAGCACUGUUUCGGCUAGGGGGUCAUCCCGACUUACCAAACCGAUGCAAACUCCGAAUACCUACAAGUGCCGAGCAUGGGAGACACACGGCGGGUGCUAACGUCCGUCGUGAAAAGGGAAACAACCCAGACCGUCAGCUAAGGUCCCAAAGUCAUGGUUAAGUGGGAAACGAUGUGGGAAGGCUUAGACAGCUAGGAGGUUGGCUUAGAAGCAGCCACCCUUUAAAGAAAGCGUAAUAGCUCACUAGUCGAGUCGGCCUGCGCGGAAGAUGUAACGGGGCUCAAACCAUGCACCGAAGCUACGGGUAUCAUCUUAUGAUGAUGCGGUAGAGGAGCGUUCUGUAAGCCUGUGAAGGUGAGUUGAGAAGCUUGCUGGAGGUAUCAGAAGUGCGAAUGCUGACAUGAGUAACGACAAUGCGAGUGAAAAACUCGCACGCCGAAAGACCAAGGUUUCCUGCGCAACGUUAAUCGACGCAGGGUUAGUCGGUCCCUAAGGCGAGGCUGAAAAGCGUAGUCGAUGGAAAACAGGUUAAUAUUCCUGUACUUCCAGUUAUUGCGAUGGAGGGACGGAGAAGGUUAGGCCAGCCUGGCGUUGGUUGUCCAGGUUUAAGGUGGUAGGCUGAAAUCUUAGGCAAAUCCGGGAUUUCAAGGCCGAGAGCUGAUGACGAGUUGCCUUUAGGCGACGAAGUGGUUGAUACCAUGCUUCCAAGAAAAGCUCCUAAGCUUCAGAUAACUGGGAACCGUACCCCAAACCGACACAGGUGGUUAGGUAGAGAAUACCAAGGCGCUUGAGAGAACUCGGGUGAAGGAACUAGGCAAAAUGGCACCGUAACUUCGGGAGAAGGUGCGCCGGCGAGGGUGAAGGACUUGCUCCGUAAGCUCAUGCCGGUCGAAGAUACCAGGCCGCUGCGACUGUUUAUUAAAAACACAGCACUCUGCAAACACGAAAGUGGACGUAUAGGGUGUGACGCCUGCCCGGUGCCGGAAGGUUAAUUGAUGGGGUUAGCGCAAGCGAAGCUCUUGAUCGAAGCCCCGGUAAACGGCGGCCGUAACUAUAACGGUCCUAAGGUAGCGAAAUUCCUUGUCGGGUAAGUUCCGACCUGCACGAAUGGCGUAACGAUGGCGGCGCUGUCUCCACCCGAGACUCAGUGAAAUUGAAAUCGCUGUGAAGAUGCAGUGUAUCCGCGGCUAGACGGAAAGACCCCGUGAACCUUUACUAUAGCUUUGCACUGGACUUUGAAUUUGCUUGUGUAGGAUAGGUGGGAGGCUUUGAAGUGGGGACGCCAGUUCUCAUGGAGCCAUCCUUGAAAUACCACCCUGGCAACUUUGAGGUUCUAACUCAGGUCCGUCAUCCGGAUCGAGGACAGUGUAUGGUGGGUAGUUUGACUGGGGCGGUCUCCUCCCAAAGAGUAACGGAGGAGUACGAAGGUGCGCUCAGACCGGUCGGAAAUCGGUCGUAGAGUAUAAAGGCAAAAGCGCGCUUGACUGCGAGACAAACACGUCGAGCAGGUACGAAAGUAGGUCUUAGUGAUCCGGUGGUUCUGUAUGGAAGGGCCAUCGCUCAACGGAUAAAAGGUACUCCGGGGAUAACAGGCUGAUACCGCCCAAGAGUUCAUAUCGACGGCGGUGUUUGGCACCUCGAUGUCGGCUCAUCACAUCCUGGGGCUGAAGCCGGUCCCAAGGGUAUGGCUGUUCGCCAUUUAAAGUGGUACGCGAGCUGGGUUUAGAACGUCGUGAGACAGUUCGGUCCCUAUCUGCCGUGGACGUUUGAGAUUUGAGAGGGGCUGCUCCUAGUACGAGAGGACCGGAGUGGACGAACCUCUGGUGUUCCGGUUGUCACGCCAGUGGCAUUGCCGGGUAGCUAUGUUCGGAAGAGAUAACCGCUGAAAGCAUCUAAGCGGGAAACUUGCCUCAAGAUGAGAUCUCACUGGGAUCUUGA
rnacentral:rRNA from 1 species